GCAAAGAUGAGUUAAAAAGCGGGGAGGCUGCUAACUUGAUUCAAGAAAACAGAAAGCUCCAGGCUCAAUGCUUGGAGUUUGAGAAAACGGUGGAAGAACUUAAUCUCAAGGCGGCUCGCCUUAGGGUAGAAUUGGGAGAGGCGCGGCGCGAGCAUUCUCGCU